rnacentral:rRNA from 1 species
UCCAGACUCCUACGGGAGGCAGCAGUGGGGAAUAUUGGGCAAUGGGCGCAAGCCUGACCCAGCAACGCCGCGUGAAGGAAGAAGGCUUUCGGGUUGUAAACUUCUUUUGUCGGGGACGAAGCAAGUGACGGUACCUGACGAAUAAGCCACGGCUAACUACGUGCCAGCAGCCGCGGUAAUACGUAGGUGGCAAGCGUUAUCCGGAUUUAUUGGGUGUAAAGGGCGUGUAGGCGGGAAUGCAAGUCAGAUGUGAAAACUAUGGGCUCAACCCAUAGCCUGCAUUUGAAACUGUAUUUCUUGAGUGCUGGAGAGGCAAUCGGAAUUCCGUGUGUAGCGGUGAAAUGCGUAGAUAUUAGGCGGAACACCAGUGGCGAAGGCGGCUUACUGGACGGCAACUGACGCUGAGGCUCGAAAGCGUGGGGAGCAAACAGGAUUAGAUACCCCAGUA